rnacentral:rRNA from 1 species
GAUGAACGCUGACAGAAUGCUUAACACAUGCAAGUCAACUUGAAUUUAGGUUUUUAACUUAGGUUUGGGUGGCGGACGGGUGAGUAACGCGUAAAGAACUUGCCUCACAGCUAGGGACAACAUUUGGAAACGGAUGCUAAUACCUAAUAUUAUGAUAAUAGGGCAUCCUAUAAUUAUGAAAGCUAUAAGCGCUGUGAGAGAGCUUUGCGUCCCAUUAGCUAGUUGGAGAGGUAACGGCUCACCAAGGCGAUGAUGGGUAGCCGGCCUGAGAGGGUGAUCGGCCACAAGGGGACUGAGACACGGCCCUUACUCCUACGGGAGGCAGCAGUGGGGAAUCUUGGACAAUGGACCAAGAGUCUGAUCCAGCAAUUCUGUGUGCACGAUGAAGUUUUUCGGAAUGUAAAGUGCUUUCAGUUGGGAAGAAAGAAAUGACGGUACCAACAGAAGAAGUGACGGCUAAAUACGUG